rnacentral:rRNA from 7 species
GAGUAAUGUCUGGGAAACUGCCUGAUGGAGGGGGAUAACUACUGGAAACGGUGGCUAAUACCGCAUAACGUCGCAAGACCAAAGAGGGGGACCUUCGGGCCUCUUGCCAUCAGAUGUGCCCAGAUGGGAUUAGCUUGUUGGUGAGGUAACGGCUCACCAAGGCGACGAUCCCUAGCUGGUCUGAGAGGAUGACCAGCCACACUGGAACUGAGACACGGUCCAGACUCCUACGGGAGGCAGCAGUGGGGAAUAUUGCACAAUGGGCGCAAGCCUGAUGCAGCCAUGCCGCGUGUAUGAAGAAGGCCUUCGGGUUGUAAAGUACUUUCAGCGGGGAGGAAGGUGUUGUGGUUAAUAACCGCAGCAAUUGACGUUACCCGCAGAAGAAGCACCGGCUAACUCCGUGCCAGCAGCCGCGGUAAUACGGAGGGUGCAAGCGUUAAUCGGAAUUACUGGGCGUAAAGCGCACGCAGGCGGUCUGUCAAGUCGGAUGUGAAAUCCCCGGGCUCAACCUGGGAACUGCAUUCGAAACUGGCAGGCUUGAGUCUUGUAGAGGGGGGUAGAAUUCCAGGUGUAGCGGUGAAAUGCGUAGAGAUCUGGAGGAAUACCGGUGGCGAAGGCGGCCCCCUGGACAAA